rnacentral:rRNA from 1 species
GGCUCUUUGGAAUAGAUAUAUAAAGAGUCGAACCUGCCCAGUGAUUUUUUUAAACGGCCGCGGUACUCUGACCGUGCAAAGGUAGCAUAAUCAUUUGCCCUAUAAUUGAGGGCUUGUAUGAACGGUUUGACAAGAGCAUAACUGUCUCUUAAAAAUUCUAUAGAAUUUGGUUUUUAGGUGAAGAAACCUAAAUAUAAUUGAAAGACAAGAAGACCCUAUCGAGCUUUAGAGCAAUUAAUUAAAAAAUAUAAUUAAAACAAUUAAUUUUAAUUAAAAACUUUGGUUGGGGCGACUGAGGAACAUAUAAAGCUUCUUUAAUUAGAAUACGCUUAUAGGCUAUGAUCCAAAAAGUUUGAUUAAAAAAAUUAGUUACCGUAGGGAUAACAGCAUAAUCUUUUUCAAGAGUUCUUAUCGAAAAAAAGGUUUGUGACCUCGAUGUUGGACUAGGAUAUCUCAAAGAUGCAGAAGUCUUUAAUAGUUGGUCUGUUCGACCAUUAAAAUCCU